UGGGGAAUUUUUGGACAAUGGGCGAAAGCCUGAUCCAGCAAUGCCGCGUGUGUGAAGAAGGCCUUCGGGUUGUAAAGCACUUUUGUCCGGAAAGAAAUCCUUGGCUCUAAUACAGUCGGGGGAUGACGGUACCGGAAGAAUAAGCACCGGCUAACUACGUGCCAGCAGCCGCGGUAAUACGUAGGGUGCAAGCGUUAAUCGGAAUUACUGGGCGUAAAGCGUGCGCAGGCGGUUUGCUAAGACCGAUGUGAAAUCCCCGGGCUCAACCUGGGAACUGCAUUGGUGACUGGCAGGCUAGAGUAUGGCAGAGGGGAGUAGAAUUCCACGUGUAGCAGUGAAAUGCGUAGAGAUGUGGAGGAAUACCGAUGGCGAAGGCAGCCCCCUGGGCCAAUACUGACGCUCAUGCACGAAAGCGUGGGGAGCAAACAGGAUUAGAUACCCUGGUAGUCCCACGCCCUAAACGAUGUCAACUAGUUGUUGGGGAUUCAUUUCCUUAGUAACGUAGCUAACGCGUGAAGUUGACCGCCUGGGGAGUACGGUCGCAAGAUUAAAACUCAAAUGAAUUGACGGGGUCAUAGCUGUUUCCU
rnacentral:rRNA from 1 species